CUGGGCUCCUACUCCGAGGGGUUUGCUUUGUCUUCAGCCUCCGUUGGGACCAAAGGAGGAUCUCAGAACUGAAAAAUGGAACUGGGAGAUCCAAGAUGACCCCUUCCCCCAUGACCCAGGUGAAGCGAUCCAGGCCCUGGGAGAGCCUGUGUUAGCGACGGGGGGACAGAAUUGAUUUCUGCAGACAGGCACUGCCUACUACAUCUUGCCAUAAAUUCAGCCAACUCGUCUCCAUGGAAACCUUCGAAGACUGUGAAGAUCUAAAGCCAAGCCACAGAUCACCUGGUUGGGAAAGUCCCUUUGUGUAUCCCAUAAUAAGUGCUGCACUGAAUCCCAGAAUGCUUUGCUUCACUAAGUAUACCUGGACAUCAGAGUUCUAUACCCGAAUAUCUGUGUUCCAGAAAAGGAGAAGCCUGCGAACCUGCUCCCUGACUGGUUAACCCCAGCAACUCCUGUGUUCCCGAGGAAUAGUAAGCCCCACCGUCUGCGGACAGAACCUGAGGCCCUAUCUCAGUGUUCUUGCCCUCUGUAG